rnacentral:rRNA from 1 species
AAAGGAGUAGUUGAUGGCAAUUAGGUUUAUAUUCCUAAACCUCUUAAGUGUGACGGGUUUCGUAUUUGUAUAGAUCUUAUUGGAUUGAUCUAUGCUUAAAAGAAGCUCCAGGAAAUAGCACUUAUAUUUAUGAGGCCGUACCGCAAACCGACACUGGUGGAUGAGUAGAGUAUACUAAGGUGUUGAAAGAAUGAUGUUGAAGGAACUCGGCAAAUUAUACCUGUAACUUCGGAAGAAGGGUAACCUGCUUUUAGGCAACUAUGAGUAGGUGGCACAAAAUAGGGAGUAGCGACUGUUUACUAAAAACACAGGACUCUGCAAACACGUAAGUGGAAGUAUAGGGUCUGACGCCUGCCCGGUGCUGGAAGGUUAAUAGGAAGGGUGCAAGCUCCGAAUUGAAGCCCCAGUAAACGGCGGCCGUAACACUGACGGUCCUAAGGUAGCGAAAUUCCUUGUCGGGUAAGUUCCGACCCGCACGAAUGGCGUAACGAUUUCUCCACUGUCUCCAACAUCACUUCAGCGAAAUUGAAUUCCCCGUGCAGAUGCGGGGUACCCGCGGUUAGACGAAGAGACCCCGUGCACCUUUACUAUAGCUUUACAUUGCUAUUAAAAGUGUGAUGUGCAGGAUAGGUGGGAGACUUUGAAGUUAUGGCGCUAGCUAUAAUGGAGUCAACCUUGAGAUACCACCCUUUACACUUUUGAUAUCUAACUAUGUUUCAUUAUCUGGAACUAGGACAUUGUAUGGUGGGUAGUUUGACUGGGGCGGUCGCCUCCUAAAAAGUAACGGAGGCGUGCGAAGGUAAGCUAGAGCUGGUCGGAAAUCAGCUUGAUAGUAUAAUGGCAUAAGCUUGCCUGACUGCGAGGCUGACAAGCCAAGCAGAGACGAAAGUCGGUCAUAGUGAUCCGGUGAUUCUGUAUGGAAGGGUCAUCGCUCAACGGAUAAAAGGUACGCCGGGGAUAACAGGCUGAUGGUGUUCGAGCGUUCAUAGCGACGACACCGUUUGGCACCUCGAUGUCGACUCAUCACAUCCUGGGGCUGAAGAAGGUCCCAAGGGUUCGGCUGUUCGCCGAUUAAAGUGAUACGUGAGUUGGGUUUAGAACGUCGUGAGACAGUUCGGUUUCUAUCUGCCGUGGGUGAAGGAAAUUUGAGAAGGUCUGACUCUAGUACGAGAGGACCGAGAUGGAUAUACCUCUGGUGUACCAGCUGUUAUGCCAAUAGCAUCGCUGGGUGGCUAUGUAUAGAUGGGAUAAUUGCUGAAAGCAUAUAAGCAAGAAACCCUCUUCAAAAAGAUUUCCCAAUUAAGGCCGUGGAAGACUACCACGUUGAUAGGCUAGGUGUGGAAGCAUGGUAACAUGUGAAGCUAACUAGUACUAAUAGCCUGAUUGAUUUAUUUGC